rnacentral:misc_RNA from 1 species
CUCCCGCUACUCGAUAGCCAA